UCCUGGGUAGCUCAAUGGUGGAGCAUUCGGCUGUUAACCGACAGGUUGGAGGUUCGAGUCCUCUCCCAGGAG
rfam:Alkaliphilus metalliredigens QYMF, complete genome.